UAUUUGGAGUCUGUACAUAAUUUGCUUUUUGAGAUAUGGUCAAUUUUAUAACCUGUAAAAAAAAAAAAUAAACAAAACUGCAAAAUUUGCAAAGAGACAACAUCAAAACAAAUUAUUUACAAUAGUGCAAUCAAAUUUCUAAGUGUGCCAGAUACUUAUGAACACACAUAUUUUAUGUACAAAACCAUGGUCAGACCAUAAAAAGUGCAUUUGAAAAUAAAAGAAAAUCGUUAUUACUGAGUUGAAUCAGAAACAGUAUUUUGAUGGUCUCCUGGUCCAAGUACUUGGACAGGUCUGAUGGAGAAGGGCUGUCCACAUAUUCUGACAGAGGUGGCUGGACACCUGGCCUCCUUUUGGGCAGGAAAUGUGGCAGAGAAGGUAAGCUGUCAGGUUCCUUCUCAGUUUUCCAGCCAGCUGUAGGGAGCGCCUCUGGCCCGGAGCGCUCGCUGGUGGAGCGGCUGCUGCAGCGUCUCCUGGCUGGAGGCGGUCUGUCCCUCUACCUCUCGCUGGGUACCAGGACAGCAGGAGACCUCCAUUCUCUCCUCUUCCUCCUCCUCCUCCUUCCCAACAUUGUAAAUGCUGCACACAGAAAAAGUUACGUGGUACAUUAGCUGUGCGCAGCACAUGACUUGUAAAAAUGAUGCGUAUUUUGCGCGGAAUGCUUUCGGCGGCGUUCCAUGUAUAUUAUACUUUCUUUACUUUUGUCCAACUCAAAACAAACAACUUGUCAUGAAUACAGACUUACAUGUCACUGGAAUGAUCAAUUCCUUCGAUAAGAUCGGCUUCAUCCGCGCUGGUGGCAGAAUCCGGGCCAGAUGAGUGGCUGGACUCUUCAUCCGACUGGAGUUUGCUGGAGAGCUUUGCUCCAGAUGUAAAUAGUUUGGCGCGACCAGGUUUUCGCGGCUCCACAACUAAUGUGUGGAAGUGUGUCAAAGGUGUGUGUGUGGUGGGUCCGUGUACGGAUCUGGUAAUUGGAUUUUCCCUUCUGAAACGGGUAUUGACAAACAAAAAACGAGUGGUUAUUUGAUUUUCGUUUUAAAACACAAAUAUUAAAAUUUAAAUACAAAGCGUUUUUCCUUUUCAUGAUCAAAAAGGGAUAUACGAUUUUUUUAAAUGCUUUGAUUUUCGUUUUAUAUUUAGAAUAACAAGAAAGUAAAAUCAGUAAGAGACAGAAACGAAAAAAGGUCCGUUUUUUCAUUUUCUGAGACCGGAAAUGGUCAUCAGCAAGUGUGGAGCGAAACAACAACAAGAUUCUCAGAGGGCGGAGCCAGAGAGCAGUGAUUGGUCAGACAGAUAAUAUAGAAGACAGCGCGCUAGCGGAUCAAGUCUCUGUAUAUCUAUGGUCGGCAUGUCUGGUGGCAUCUCUGGCUGCUGUUGAUCUUGUUCUUGGAGUAAAACACGGUAAGAAGAUAAAUACUUCUAACCAGUAGCGUUGUUUUGUUGUACGUUAAGUCAGCGACUUGUGAAGAGUUGUGUUUUGUCGUGUUUGAGCAGUUGGUCCGGACGCGUUAGCUAGCUAAGCGGCUAAGUUAGCUAGCGGGCUAAUAAACACAGGUGGCUAACUUACCGCUGAACACCUGUGUUAGUUGCUGCCACAGCUGUCCGUCAUUAUUAGAAAGACCUUCUCAACCUGUAUUUCUCUGCUGUGUAUUUGAGCUUUUAAAAAGUUAUUUUACUUUAAGGUUAACUGAAACCAUUUGAGCUGCACUGAAGUUUAACAUUCAGCUGGUUUGAAUUAAACCGCGCUUAACAUUGCGCAACAUUACCUCUCUGAAUCUCCAUAAUUUCAUUAAAUUCCUUCUCUCUUCCACUGCUCAAGUUCAAUCCAGUAUAUAAAGUGACAUUAAUAGUGAAUAAACUAACAACCAGCCAUUGUAUUUAUUUAUUACUGUAUGUAUUUGUAGUAAAACAUGAGUUAAAACAUCCUACUUUUGGAUCUAGAACUGCACAAGCCGUUCAUUUUCAGUCACCUGACGAGUUAAACUCCCCUUUUUCUGUGAGGUUGAAGCAGAAAGUCUGAGUUAACAAAGAAAGUUCUUUAUAAUUUGCGGUACCUGUUAUCUCUGACUGAGGCUUUAGUUUUUGUUGAGCUGAUUUACACGUAGAAACUUUGUUCAGGAAAAUUUUUCAGUAGCUCAGAGGACAGGCUGCUUUUUACACAACCUUGUAAGAGAAUGUCUGUCAAUGCUUACGGAAGAAUUUAGGAACACAACACUUCCUAAACAGAUAUUUUGAGGCUGUGAGGUUGAACGUUUGAGAGUAUAUCAGUGUUUUUGUUUGUGGUCUUUCUGUUUCUAGGUGGAAGCUGAAUUAGUGAGGAUGACUCCUGCUCCUGUCAUCUCUAAGCUCCUCACACAUCUUUACCUGCACAUGAGGAAAAUCACUCCUGUAGAAUGCAGAUGUUCAGAGGGAGAUGAUGCCACAUCUGGUCCAGCUGAUGGAAGGUCUUGAAGUUCUCUGACUGGCCUCGACUGAAGAUGGUCGUCUCACUGGAUUUAAGCAUGUUGGAGCAAAACAACCAGAUGAAAACUGUGAUGGUGUUGGAUUGUCAGACUGUAAUGUGCAACAUUACGGCCUGAUCAGGAAGCGGGCGAGCUGCUCCAUGAACCGGGACGAGGGGGUCUACACCCUCUCGCAUACCUGGGAUUCCAUCCUCCAGAGACCACCGGACGGCGGGGGGCGUGGCCAGUCUGACAGAUUCUGACAGAUUGGUCAGACCGGUCCCAUGAUAAAAAAGGACACGUCGGAUGACGCUCUGAAGAAGACUGCAGUUGAAACAUGUCAGCUAAGAUGCACAAUGAGGGACGUCUGCAGAGACUGAGAAAGAGUCUCACCACAUCCUGACAUGAGGAAAAAGACUUUAUUGAAGACUACAAUGAGAAAAACUAUCAGACAGCAGACGGCUGCAUUCAAGUCUGUAGCUGCUGAAUUCAUGGAUGAAUCAUCUGGUACUAGAGAAGAAGACCAUCAAACAUCCACGUCAGCUGAUGGAGGUCCAAGAGUCUCACCAAACAAACAACCUACAGAGUGAAGACCUCAAAUCUGAUUGGACGGCCUCCUAUUCAUCCACAUGUGUGAACAAAUGCCUCUAAGCUGAUUUGUUUUCUAAAAUAAAUCUAGUUUGAGUCCUAAUCUAUGCCUGUGUGUUUGCUUCUUUACACCGCUGUUAACAGUUUAGGCUGUUAGAUUGUUCCAGAUAAGACAAAUACAAGAUUCUUCAGAGCCGUUCUACCACAAGCCUGACAGGA
ensembl:lncRNA